rnacentral:rRNA from 1 species
AUUCCGGAUAGCGUUUCCAGCCUGGAGUGGCGGAAACGCCAAACGCUCCGGCGCCACAGGAUGCGACUGCGGCCGAUUAGGUAGACGGUGGGGUAACGGCCCACCGUGCCGAUAAUCGGUACGGGUAGUGAGAGCUAGAGCCCGGAGACGGACUCUGAGACAAGAGUCCGGGCCCUACGGGGCGCAGCAGGCGCGAAACCUUUACACUGCGCGACAGCGCGAUAGGGGGAUCCCAAGUGCGAGGGCAUACAGUCCUCGCUUUUUCCGACCGUAAGGUGGUCGGCGAAUAAGAGCUGGGCAAGACCGGUGCCAGCCGCCGCGGUAAUACCGGCAGCUCGAGUGAUGGCCGCUAUUAUUGGGCCUAAAGCGUCCGUAGCCGGCUAGACAGGUCCGUCGGGAAAUCCACCCGCUCAACGGGUGGGCGUCCGGCGGAAACCAGCUAGCUUGGGACCGAGCGACCUGAGGGGUACGUCCGGGGUAGGAGUGAAAUCCCGUAAUCCCGGACGGACCAUCGGUGGCGAAAGCGCCUCAGGAGAGCGGAUCCGACGGUGAGGGACGAAAGCUAGGGUCUCGAACCGGAUUAGAUACCCGGGUAGUCCUAGCCGUAAACGAUGCUCGCUAGGUGUGGCGCUGGCUACGAGCCAGCGCUGUGC